rnacentral:rRNA from 1 species
UCCUAGCUGUAAACGAUGGACACUAGGUGUUAGUGGUAUCGACCCCACUAGUGCCGUAGCUAACGCAAUAAGUGUCCCGCCUGGGGAGUACGGCCGCAAGGUUGAAACUCAAAGGAAUUGACGGGGGCCCGCACAAGCGGUGGAGCAUGUGGUUCAAUUCGUCAUUAACCGAAGAACCUUACCAGGGUUUGACAUCUUCCGAAUCCCGAUGAAAGUCGGGAGUGCCCUCACAAGGGGAGCGGAAAGACAGGUG